GUUGUAUGGUUAAGUGACUAAGCGUACACGGUGGAUGCCUUGGCAGUCAGAGGCGAUGAAGGACGUAUUAACUUGCGAUAAGCCCAGAUUAGGCAGUAAAAGCCACUUGAGUCUGGGAUUUCCGAAUGGGGAAACCCAACUGCAUAAGCAGUUACUGUUAACUGAAUACAUAGGUUAACAGGGCGAACCGGGGGAACUGAAACAUCUAAGUACCCCGAGGAAAAGAAAUCAACCGAGAUUCCGAAAGUAGCGGCGAGCGAAAUUGGACUAGCCCUUAAGCUUUACACGCGUUAGACGAACGGUCUGGAAAGUCCGACGAUACAGGGUGAUAGUCCCGUAGUUGACGACGUGUGUUCAGUGAAAUCGAGUAGGGCGGGUACACGUGAUAUCCUGUC
rnacentral:rRNA from 1 species